UUAUCUUCAUCUUCUUUUGCUUCUUUCUUUUCUUUUUCGUCUUUGGUUUCUUCCUUUUCUCUUAUUUCAUUAUCUGCUUCUUUUUCUUCAGUUUCUUUGCUUUCUUUGUUCUGCACUUUGUCCAUAUCCAUAAUUUGGGCCUCGUCUUUCCCAUCAUCCUUUUUAUCUGUUGCCAUCUUUGUUACUGCAUUAUUUCUAUUUCUUCUGUGUCACAACCUCACCCUUCUCCUCUGGCUUAGCAUUGCCAUUUGCAGCUGCCUUAGGUUUAUUCACUCAUAAUUAUUGGAACAUAAAGAUUGAACUUAUUCUACAACCUUUCUUUACUUACCAAAACUGCAUACAGAAAAUAGAAGAGAAUAACAUAUUUCAUGAGAAAAUAAAUUCAAAAG
rnacentral:lncRNA from 1 species